UCUCGUCUGAUCUCGGAAGCUAAGCAGGGUUGGACCUGGUUAGUACGUGGAUGGGAGACU
rnacentral:miRNA from 14 species